UACGUAGGGUGCGAGCGUUAAUCGGAAUUACUGGGCGUAAAGCGUGCGCAGGCGGUUAUGUAAGAACAGUUGUGAAAUCCCCGGGCUCAACCUGGGAAUUGCAUCUGUGACUGCAUAGCUAGAGUACGGUAGAGGGGGAUGGAAUUCCGCGUGUAGCAGUGAAAUGCGUAGAUAUGCGGAGGAACACCGAUGGCGAAGGCAAUCCCCUGGACCUGUACUGACGCUCAUGCACGAAAGCGUGGGGAGCAAACAGG
rnacentral:rRNA from 1 species